CGGGGCGUGACAGUAGGUUAAAGACAGGCUGCAUUUGGUUCGGAUAUAAGUAAGAACUGCUAGUUCUAGGGAUAGGUAGAAGUUCAGGUAUAAGCAGGAACUAGACCAAUUUUGCGUUUAGAUGAAAAUUGGGUUGUUCUUAGGAAUAAGGUAAAUAGUGUUUGGAUGAUUAGAUUGGAACAAGAGGAAUAAGAGCUAUAAUUUGAAAUUUAAAUUAUAUUAUGUAAUUACUUAACAUCAAAAUAUUAUUUAAAAAUAAAUAAUAAAUUAAUUAUUAAUAAUUAAUUAUAAAUAAUAAUAACUAUUAAUAAUUAAUUAUAAAUAAUAAAUUUAUAAUAUCGAUUAUCUAAUUAAUUAAUAAAAUUAUUAUUAUUAAUAACUAUUUAAUAAAUAAUAAUAAUUAUUAUUUAUUCUUAUUAAUUAAUUAUUAAUAAUAAAUUAAUAUAAUAUCAAUUAUCUAAUUAUUAAUAAUAAAUUAAUAUUAAUACUUAUUUAAUAAAUAAUAAUAAUUAUUAAUAAUUAAUUAUAAAUAAUAAAUUAAUAAUAAUAUCCAUUAUC
rnacentral:lncRNA from 1 species